AGAGUUUGAUCCUGGCUCAGGACGAACGCUGGCGGCGCGCCUAACACAUGCAAGUCGAGGGAGAACCGGGCUUCGGCCCGGGGAGACCGGCGAACGGGUGAGUAACACGUGAGGAACCUGCCUCGUAGACCGGAAUAACCAUGGGAAACCGUGGCUAAUGCCGGAUGAUCUCCCCACGUCGCAUGGCGUGGAGAGCAAAUGGUCAGCCGCUACGAGAUGGCCUCGCGGCCUAUCAGCUUGUUGGUGGGGUAACGGCCCACCAAGGCUUCGACGGGUAGCUGGUGUGAGAGCACGACCAGCCACACUGGGACUGAGACACGGCCCAGACUCCUACGGGAGGCAGCAGUGGGGAAUCUUGCGCAAUGGGCGAAAGCCUGACGCAGCGACGCCGCGUGCGGGAAGAAGGCCUUCGGGUUGUAAACCGCUUUCAGCAGGGAAGAAGCGAAAGUGACUGUACCUGCAGAAGAAGGACCGGCCAACUACGUGCCAGCAGCCGCGGUAAUACGUAGGGUCCGAGCGUAGUCCGGAAUUAUGGGGCGUAAAGAGCUCGUAGGCGGUCCCCUUAAGUCGGAUGUGAAAUGUCAAGGCUCAACCCUGAAACCGCAUCCGAUACUGGGGGACUUGAGGCAGGUAGGGGAAUGUGGAAUUCCUGGUGUACCGGUGAAAUGCGCAUGAUAUGAGGGAGGAACACCGAUUGGCGAAAGGCAUGCCUUCUUGGGGCCUGUACUGACGCCUGAUGAGCGAANACGUGGGGGAGCAAACAGG
rnacentral:rRNA from 1 species